rnacentral:rRNA from 1 species
UACGUAGGGUCCGAGCGUUGUCCGGAAUUACUGGGCGUAAAGAGCUCGUAGGUGGUUUGUCGCGUUGUUCGUGAAAACUCACAGCUCAACUGUGGGCGUGCGGGCGAUACGGGCAGACUUGAGUACGUGCAGGGGAGACUGGGAAUUCCUGGGUGUAGCGGUGGAAUGCGCAGAUAUCAGGAGGAACACCGGUGGGCGAAGGCGGGU